rnacentral:lncRNA from 1 species
AUGAAACAGAUGGUCAUAGAAUUGGUUCAGUGGUUGUGAGUGCAGCAACCCAAGAGUGUCUUAUCUGAAAUACCACCAGGAAUGCCUGGACACAGUAGACAAAGGUUGUUCAACUGGACGCCUUAGGAUACAUGCUUCCAAAAACAAAGUAGCUGAAAAGAAACUAGAAUAACAGGAUAUCAGAGCCAGAGGAGCAUUUGGAGUACGGGAAGGAUGAAAUUACUUUUGAUGGAGAGAGCAUUUAGUGUCUCAGAGAGAAGACAGGACAUCAUUCAUCACUUUCAUGAUGGGGCCGGCAGAUACCACCAUGGUGACGUUUGUGGCAGAAGAGGUGGAGCCAGGGACUGGGGAGAAGAAACGCAAACACAUGAUGGGUUAAAAACUGGUGAAAUCGAAUAGGUUUAAUCAGGACUGAGGAAGGUCAGUAACUGAAAUUCUUAACUUACUGUUGAGAAAAACGUGAUCACUCCCCACAGCACUUUAAGAUCCUUCACCACAAAAACAAGGUUCGAGGUGCCUGAGCUCAGAGCUGAAGGCACUGCCUGUAGCUCAGACUCUGACAAGAGUGAGGUAGAUUGUGGCCAGCAUGCCAGGUAACGGUCUGCAGUUGCAAUAACAGAAUUAGAAGGUGGGGGUGUCAUGGAAUCUUAGGAGCCCUGCAUUCCAAUUGCCCAGGCUUUGCUGAAACACAGGCACCCUGGUCUCACUUGAGGGUCACCACCAAUGGGGAUCAUUCCUUCAGCAUUCACUCUCAGUAUUCGUGUACCCUUGUGACAAUGCCACAGACCCAUCUCUUUCCCAAUACAUCUAAGCAUAUUCCUCACUGUUUAUCUCUUGUCUGUACAACAUCAUCAACCAGAAACAGUUUCCCAACAGGUUAUAUUUUCUUAAUGGUAGUCAUGAAGUCACCCCACCUGCUCUAAGUUAAAACAGAGCUUAAGCCUUUUCCACAGGUAUAAGAUAUCAAACUUUUAGCCUGCCCUGAUAUCCUCUGGGUCUUCUGCAGUUUUUUCUGUAUCCACUAGAAAGUGAAUGAAUAAUUCAUUUUUUAAAAAUGUUUUCUUUCCUGUCUCAGUAUUCUUCUUGCUGCAUCCCAUGGUUAUGUUGAUUUCUUUUUUCUUACUGGGGCACCAUCUUGGGCUUUCAUUAUGCUCUAGACCAGUUUGACAUCCCUACGUCCAAAGCUCUUCCUCUACAUGGGUUGAUUUGUUUUUUAAUGUCUCUGAGCACUACAUUUUAUACUUGUCACUUAUGAAUGUCAUUCUAGUGCCACAAGAGCUCUUUUCAAGAUAUCAAGUGAUCAAAAUCAUUUAUAUAGAGAGAUCUCCUGAAAACAUGUGUGACCAUCUAUUUUGGGAAGUUUCAUAAACUUGAUGCUAUUUUAUUGUUUCCAUUUCAUUUUCCCAUAUAUUGAAAAGAACAGGGCCAUGAACAGUUCUUAUGGAAUAUGGUUUGAUAUAUAUUUUGCUGAGUUGGACUAACACCAUUUGUUUUUGGUUACAUUCCACUAACAGAACAUGGCAAGAUAAGUUUAUGGUCAGGGUUGGUUGGUGAUCCUCAGUGUUGCUGCGCAGUAGAAGGUGAGUUUGAGGUGAGAGGAACAAGUAGGAAAGAGUGAUCCCCUGAACCACCUCCUCACUUUCUUAGCUUUCAACCCCACCUAGGUUUUGUGAGCCUGGAACUUGGGAGACUGUUCGGUAGCCCAGGUCUCCUAAGAGUGGGUGCAGUGGCUGUGACCCUGGGCUGCUCAGCAUUCAUGUGGAAAUGAAGGAAGGAGGACUGGAUCAAUCCCAUUUGAAAGCAUCCUUCUCUGCAGCCCACACAAUCCUCCAAUGACACUGACAGAGGUGUACCCUCCUAGUGUACUGGGACCAAAAUUCGGAAGUGUCUGCAAACUUGCUUUAACCGUAUGGGAAAUAACCUCUAUCACCUGGAAUUUCCUUGGGACUUUGGAAAAUACAAGAGAAGUAUGAGACUUGGGUCUUCCCUUGGCUGUGUUUAAUUCACUCUUCUAUGGAAUACCAAUGAUUCUCACUAAGACUUUUGCCUUUUUAUAACCACAAUGUAUGCUUUAUGGAGAAGAUUUUACUCUUUGCUCUACUUAGAAAGAAUAAAUAUGAGCAAUGCUUUA